AACGAACGCUGGCGGCAUGCCUAACACAUGCAAGUCGAACGAGAACUUCGGGUCUAGUGGCGCACGGGUGCGUAACGCGUGGGAACCUGCCCUUAGGUUCGGAAUAACUCCCCGAAAGGGGUGCUAAUACCGGAUAAUGUCUUCGGACCAAAGAUUUAUCGCCUUUGGAUGGGCCCGCGUUGGAUUAGCUAGUUGGUAGGGUAAAUGCCUACCAAGGCGACGAUCCAUAGCUGGUCUGAGAGGAUGAUCAGCCACACUGGGACUGAGACACGGCCCAGACUCCUACGGGAGGCAGCAGUGGGGAAUAUUGGACAAUGGGCGAAAGCCUGAUCCAGCAAUGCCGCGUGAGUGAUGAAGGCCUUAGGGUUGUAAAGCUCUUUUACCCGGGAUGAUAAUGACAGUACCGGGAGAAUAAGCUCCGGCUAACUCCGUG
rnacentral:rRNA from 1 species